UGGUCUGUGGCUCAGUGGUAGAGCACUUGCCUUGCAUGCAUGAGGCCCUGGGUUUGAUCCUCAGCACCACAU
rnacentral:tRNA from 1 species